UACGGAGGAUCCAAGCGUUAUCCGGAUUUAUUGGGUUUAAAGGGUGCGUAGGUGGUUCAUUAAGUCAGGGGUGAAAGACGGCAGCUCAACUAUCGCAGUGCCCUUGAUACUGAUGGGCUUGAAUGAACUAGAGGUAGGCGGAAUGUGACAAGUAGCGGUGAAAUGCAUAGAUAUGUCACAGAACACCAAUUGCGAAGGCAGCUUACUAUGGUUUUAUUGACACUGAGGCACGAAAGCGUGGGGAUCAAACAGG
rnacentral:rRNA from 1 species